rnacentral:rRNA from 1 species
UACGUAGGUGGCAAGCGUUGUCCGGAAUUAUUGGGCGUAAAGCGCGCGCAGGCGGUCCUUUAAGUCUGAUGUGAAAGCCCACGGCUCAACCGUGGAGGGUCAUUGGAAACUGGAGGACUUGAGUACAGAAGAGGAAAGCGGAAUUCCACGUGUAGCGGUGAAAUGCGUAGAGAUGUGGAGGAACACCGGUGGCGAAGGCGGCAUCCUGGACCGGCAUUGACGCUGAGGCGCGAAAGCCAGGGGAGCAAACGGG